AUGACUUUUACUCAAUAGCAAUAUAUAUCCACCAAAAGUAAGACAACAAUAUUUCUGUAAACACCAUUACUGCCAAAUCCUUUAUAGACAAACCUGGUCUAGCUCUAAACAUGUUGAGAUACUGCAUUGAUAUCCACUUUGAUGUAGCUAGUUUAUUGUUCAUUGAUCUAGGACACACAUGUUCUCCCGUAAGAGUCUUAAUCAUAAAUACAU
rnacentral:lncRNA from 1 species